rnacentral:tRNA from 1 species
GCUCACCUAGCUCAGUCGGUAGAAGCACUUCCUGGGUAAGGAAGAAGGUCGGCGGUUCAAAUCCGAUGGUGAGCU